rnacentral:miRNA from 14 species
UAUGUGUGUGUGUGUGUGUGUACACAUAUUCCAUUGGGAUAUGUGUACACACACACACGCACACACAUACA